rnacentral:rRNA from 1 species
CGGAGGCGCCGUGAAUGGCGUCCCAACAGCAGCACACAUCGAGCUUGCAGGCAGGGCAGUCGACAGCGGAGGGGGCCUCACGGCACUCUUCCUGGGCGCAGCCGCAGUCUGCACAGCGCAUAACAAAUCUCGCUGCCAUGACAGGGACGCCACAGCUUCGUCUAAUACGACUUUCAUCUGAUUGGAAACGCAGGUUCGGUCAGGCAUCACCGCGGAUGGCAUGCGCAGAUUCAGGGAGGGCGCGCCUCAGAGGUGCGCGAGGAUAGGAUACACGGCGAGCAGCAUUAUCGCCAGCAUGGCGACGAUGAGGACCGCCGCGGCCAGGGCAAAGAACUUGCUCGUCCUGUCCAUGCGCGUCUCGCCAGCGCGGCACCCAAUAAACCCUGGGUAUGCGCAGGUCAAACAUCCCGGAUGCCACCGUUAAAGAGGUCCGGCCGUUCCGUUGUGACCCCGUAACGACUGAGCGCGCAGAAGUGUGCGUAAUGAGAUGGCCACGCGGCUAGCUCGAGAUCCCGCAAGGGACACAUCGCGUUCCGACGCGAUGCGACAUGGGCGCAAGCCCGCUCGGGUGUGCCACACAAGAAACGCGGCCAUCAUACGCCGACCCCACGAGUGCUCGUGGGUGAAGACAUAGUCUAACUCCGGGCGUAAGCCUGGGUAUAGUUGCGAUGUCGGCUCUUCCCAUCCUGGUCCUGCAGCAGGGGCCAAGGGUGGGGCUGCUCGCCCAUCAAAGGGGAACGUGAGCUGGGUUUAGACCGUCGUGAGACAGGUCGGCCUCUACCUGAUGGAAGCGGUGGUUCACUGAGGGGAAGCCCUGCCCAGUACGAGAGGAACAGCGGGGCGUUGCCUCUGGCGUACCGGUCGUCCGAGAGGGCGUCGCCGGGCAGCUAAGCAAUUGUGGAUAACCGCUGAAAGCAUCUAAGCGGGAAGCCACUCCCGAGAAGAGUGAGCCUUGGACCCAAGCUACCUCCGCAAGGGGGUGGGGCGGGUCCAGAAGGGCGGCCAUAGAAGAUGGCGUUGAAAUGGUGGGGGUGUACGCUGGAAGCUUCGGCGACCAGUUCAGCCCGUCCACUAAUUACAGCCCAACGCUUGGAUGAG